UACAUGAAUUUUUUAUUUAUAAUGCGAUAUAAAAAUAUAAUGUUUAUCGCAUGCAAAUGAGGGAAAAUAUGGCUCCUAUUCGCAUUUCUAUUCGCAUGUUAAUAUACUCUUUGAUCAUCUUUGUUGGAAAUUCUUUUCUUAAAAGUGACAUUCCAUGCGAAUCAUACGCCGAUUGUCCAAAGGUGAUAUGGUAUUCUAAAAAGUGUUUUCACAAAUUUUGUCAUUAUCGGGAUCUUUAUUAGUCAUUUUUCUAAUUAAUUAAGUAUAAAAAUAAGUGUGCGCUAUUGCUUUUAUACAUCAUAAUGUUUUUAUUUUAAACAAUACAAAAUAACUGUUAUCUUUAAAUGUAUUAUUGCUUUUG